rnacentral:rRNA from 1 species
UCCGUAGGGUGCAAGCGUUGUCCGGAAUUAUUGGGCGUAAAGAGCUCGUAGGCGGUCUGUCACGUCGGCUGUGAAAUCCCGAGGCUCAACCUCGGGUCUGCAGUCGAUACGGGCAAACUAGAGUAUUGCAGGGGAGACUGGAAUUCCUGGUGUAGCGGUGAAAUGCGCAGAUAUCAGGAGGAACACCGGUGGCGAAGGCGGGUCUCUGGGCAAUAACUGACGCUGAGGAGCGAAAGCGUGGGGAGCGAACAGG